GAUGAAGAACGUAGCGAAAUGCGAUAAGUAGUGUGAAUUGCAGAAUUCAGUGAAUCAUCGAAUCUUUGAACGCACAUUGCGCCCCUUGGUAUCCCGAGGGGCAUGCCUGUUCGAGCGUCAUUUCACCACUCAAGCCUUGCUUGGUGUUGGGCGACGUCCUCUUUGGGGACGCGCCUCGAAACGCUCGGCGGCGUGGCACCGGCUUUAAGCGUAGCAGAAUCUUUCGCUUUGGAAGUCGGGGCCCCGUCUGCCGGAAGACCUGCUCGCAAGGUUGACCUCGGAUCAGGCAGGGAUACCCGCUGAACUUAAGCAUAUCAAUAAGCGGAGGA
rnacentral:misc_RNA from 1 species